AGAUGUUAAAAGCAAGAGACAUGGGAGAGCAUCGUUCCUUUGAGAUUUUAUAACUCAAACCAACUUUGGAGUUGUCUGAUUUGGAGAGUCAUUAUUCUUGGUCUUCGCUCUUAGAGGCCACUGAUGAAGAGCAGGCGGUGACUGGGAUGAAUCCUGGUCAGAGAGGAGAAUCUUCUUUCCCCUAAACUGAUGCAGAGGUGGUUUUAAAGGAGGACGCUGCCCUGUAUGAUGUAGAUGUCGUCACAUGCUGUGCUGAUGGGGUUUCUUCAUGAUUACAUCAGUUAUGCUAAAGAGAUCAUGAAAAUUGACCGUGAUGCAUGAUCUAUAUUCAUGGACUAUGAAACAAACUGUAAGUGUAUAAUUUGUUAAAAAAAAAAAAAAAGUUAAAUGCUUUUUCUGUGUUGUUUAGUAGAAGAGUUUACACUCUGUCAUUCAUACACCUGCUCACAUUCUUUCACACACACACACACACACACACACACACACACAUGCGUCUGUUAAAUGUUAUAAUAUCAAAGUUAAUGUGAUUUAUUUGUGUACUGUCAUGCCAGAAUAGUUGGAAAAAAACCUAACUAAUUGUAAAUUUAUUGUAUGUGUUUUCGUAUAUUUUUAUACAAUAUAUACAAAUGAACAAAGUCCAAUUUGAUCUUAAGUUAUAUUCAUCAAAUGUUCAAUGCUUUGUUUAUGAACUCUGUAGCUGUUAAUGCCAUCCUUUUCUGCAUUUCUUCUAACAUGUUACUUUUUGACUUUUCUCUUGUUUUUAAUAAAUAUUUUCCUUUUGGUAAUUAUUAUUUGUGUGUAAAAGUGAUAUUUAAAAUGAAUAACAUUUGUAGGUUUAAUGCCUAGCUCAAUUUGGGUUAAUUUUAACGUAGAAAUGCAUUGUUUCCCCACAUGGCUGCACUCUGCGAGUUUAUUUUCUGCCAGCAGGAGGCGCUAAGAGCGGGAGAGGUAGGUUUCUCCGGUAACGGCUGCAGAGCGGUGCUGAGCUCACAAACGCUGCCUUAUCAAGCACAUGCGAAAUGAUAUCGAACA